UUAUUACUCCCUCCGUCCGAAAAUAUUUGUCAUUAAAAUGAACAAAAAAGAACGUAUCUAGAACUAAAAUACGUCUAGAUACAUCCCCUUUUAUCCAUUUUGAUGACAAGUAUUUUCGGACGGAGGGAGUAGGAA
rfam:Triticum urartu cultivar G1812 contig792832, whole genome shotgun sequence.